rnacentral:rRNA from 1 species
UACGGGGGGGGCAAGCGUUGUUCGGAAUUACUGGGCGUAAAGGGCUCGUAGGCGGCCAACUAAGUCGGACGUGAAAUCCCCAGGCUCAACCUGGGAACUGCGUCCGAUACUGGAUGGCUUGAAUUCGGGAGAGGGAUGCAGAAUUCCAGGUGUAGCGGUGAAAUGCGUAGAUAUCUGGAGGAAUACCGGUGGCGAAGGCGGCAUCCUGGACCGACAUUGACGCUGAUGAGCGAAAGCUAGGGGGGCAAACGGG